CUCUUUUUGANNNUAAUNUAAAGUNNGGCCUGCCCACUGANNNUUUGAAGGGCCGCAGUAUUUUGACUGUGCAAAGGUAGCAUAAUCAUUAGUUUUUUAAUUGAAAGCUAGAAUGAAAGGUUUGAUGAAAAAAUUUCUGUUUCAAUUUUAUUUUAAAGAAUUUUAUUUUUAAGUUAAAAAGCUUAAAUAAUUUUUAAAGACGAGAAGACCCUAUAGAGUUUAACUGAAAUUUAUUAUUAUAAAAUUUUAGAAUUAAAUUUUAAAUUUUAAAUUAAGUUUUAUUGGGGUGAUAGAAAAAUUAAAUUAACUUUUUUUUUAUUUUAACAAGAAUUAUUGAAUUUUUGAUCCAUUUAUAUGAUUAUAAGAUUAAAUUACCUUAGGGAUAACAGCGUAAUAUUUUUUAAGAGUUCUUAUUUAAAAAAAAGAUUGCGACCUCGAUGUUGGAUUAAAAUUAAUUUUUGGUGCAGAAGCUAAAAAAUUGGGUCUGUUCGACCUUUAAAAUUUUACAUGAUCUGAGUUUAAACCGGUGUGAGCCAGGUUGGUUUCUAUCUUAAUUAAAGUUAAAUAUUUUAGUACGAAAGGAUUAAAUAUUUUAUUUAGAAUAUUGAAUUGAAUAAAAUUUUUAUUUUGGCAGAAUAGUGCAAAGGAUUUAGAAUCUUUUUAUAUAAUUUUAAAUUAUAAAUAAAAAUAGAUUUAAUUUUAAUUUUAAUUAAUUUUUUUAUGUUAUUUGUGGGAGUUUUAGUAGGGGUGGCUUUUUUAACUUUGCUUGAACGAAAGUUAUU
rnacentral:rRNA from 1 species